rnacentral:rRNA from 1 species
GAUGAACGCUAGCUACAGGCUUAACACAUGCAAGUCGAGGGGAAACGACAUCGAAAGCUUGCUUUUGAUGGGCGUCGACCGGCGCACGGGUGAGUAACGCGUAUCCAACCUGCCCAUCACUUGGGAAUAACCUUGCGAAAGUAAGACUAAUACCCAAUGACAUCCCACGAAGACAUCUGAAUGGGAUUAAAGAUUUAUCGGUGAUGGAUGGGGAUGCGUCUGAUUAGCUUGUUGGCGGGGUAACGGCCCACCAAGGCAACGAUCAGUAGGGGUUCUGAGAGGAAGGUACCCCACAUUGGAACUGAGACACGGUCCAAACUCCUACGGGAGGCAGCAGUGAGGAAGAUUGGUCAAUGGGCGAGAGCCUGAACCAGCCAAGUAGCGUGCAGGAUGACGGCCCUAUGGGUUGUAAACUGCUUUUAUAAGGGAAUAAAGUGGGUCUCGUGAGACUUUUUGCAUGUACCUUAUGAAUAAGGACCGGCUAAUUCCGUG